rnacentral:lncRNA from 1 species
UUUUGGUGGGGUUCGUGUUGUUUAUUUUUUAGUUUUCUAUGUUGUGUCAUGUGUACUAUUGUUUGUCUGUUUGUCUUUUUCAUUUUUAGCCAAGGCGUUGUCAGUUUAUUUUCGAUUUAUGAGUUUGACUGUCCCUCUGGUGUCUUUCGUCCCUCUUUUACAUAUAUGAAACAUCUGAAUCUGUAAUGUUUAUGAGCUGAACAAAACAUCUCAAUAUCAUAUUUCAUUUCAAUAUACAAUAUUUCACAGCUAUGACUACAUGUGCUUUCCGUGAUAAUGUUAAAACAAUGCAGAUAAAAACGACCAAAAAGCUUUAUAUUUAUAGAUUAUCGUUGGUUAUCUCAACGAGAUUGAUUUUCUCGCUUGAGCCGGUUACGGCAAAAGCGAGAAAAGCAAUCGAGUUGAGAUGACCAAUGAUAAUUUGUUUAUCGCAUUUUUACCUAUGACGAUGUUGUCAAUUGCAUGUAAAUUUC